UACGAAGGGGGGCUAGCGUUGCUCGGAAUUAUUGGGCGUAAAGAGCUCGUAGGCGGUUUGUCGCGUCUGCCGUGAAAGUCCGGGGCUCAACUCCGGAUCUGCGGUGGGUACGGGCAGACUAGAGUGAUGUAGGGGGAGACUGGAAUUCCUGGUGUAGCGGUGAAAUGCGCAGAUAUCAGGAGGAACACCGAUGGCGAAGGCAGGUCUCUGGGCAUUAACUGACGCUGAGGAGCGAAAGCAUGGGGAGCGAACGG
rnacentral:rRNA from 1 species